rnacentral:rRNA from 1 species
GCCAGCAGCCAUAUCACCCUGCAACUCCCAGCUGGCAGCCCACUAAAGCUAAGCAGGCGUGAGCCUGGUCAAUACCUGGAUGGGAGGCCUUCUGGGAAAGCUAAGGCUGCUGCUGGAA